AUAAAAGCAGCUUUGCUUAAGUUACUGCUGGCAUCCAUGGUCUUCCAGAGGGUGCUGAUCUGCUGUUCCCAGUGUCUGGGCUGUUCUUGGGCUCCAGGGAGCUGAAGCAGAUGUCAGAAGCUGAACUCCUUGAGUCACCUGCAGUGGUGAGGAUGGAGCUGCAUUCCCUCUGCUGCCUUCAGCCUCCUGCUCUCGAUCCCCAGCUCCAUCUGCCUGACACCAUGGGCAGCUUCCCAAAGCUGGAACCUCAACUGCCUUCAUUUCUGCACAGGCCAUUCCAGAAGGGCUGGAACUGCAGAGAGCUGAGAUAAGAGCCCUACCCCUUCCUUGGUGCCGUGAGCACGAGAUGAAGGAUGAAGAGGAACUCAAGAUGCUGUCAAGAUUUCCCUUUGUACAUAUCUGAUCAGUUCAUGCCAGCUUUGGCUCCGUGCCUUUCCAGGGGAGAGCCUCCACCAGCAGGACAAGGUGGUUCAGCCCUCGGCGCAGCAAUGGAGACAGGAUUAGGAGCUGGGCUGGGGAUGGCUCCCACUCCACAAGGCAUGGGAUCUGUGAGAAAUACCUUGGGAAGACAUUGUCAGAGGUGUGCCUUUUUCUGGAGAGGUGGGUAUUGCCUGGAUGUGCUCCUUGGCUGCCAUAAAUCAGUAUAAACGCAUUCAUUUUAGUGGAGGUGUCGUGUCUGCUGGAGUCAGGCCCUGUGAUGUUGCUCAUUACACAGGUUUUGGGUAAGGAGCCAAGAGAUGAAGGGAGGCACGGCUACAACAUUUUAAAUAAAUAAGUAAUAAGACUG
rnacentral:lncRNA from 1 species